GAUGAACGCUAGCGGCAGGCUUAACACAUGCAAGUCGAGGGGCAGCGCGGGUAGCAAUACCUGGCGGCGACCGGCAAACGGGUGCGGAACACGUACGCAAUCUACCUUUAUCUGGGGCAUAGCCCGAAGAAAUUCGGAUUAACACCCCAUAUUAUAUUUGAGUGGCAUCACUUGGAUAUUAAAACUCCGGUGGAUAAAGAUGAGCGUGCGUCCCAUUAGCUAGUUGGUAGGGUAACGGCCUACCAAGGCGACGAUGGGUAGCUGGUGUGAGGGCACGACCAGCCACACGGGCACGGAGACACGGGCCCGACUCCUACGGGAGGCAGCAGUGAGGAAUAUUGGUCAAUGGACGCAAGUCUGAACCAGCCAUGCCGCGUGGAGGAUGAAGGCCUUCUGGGUUGUAAACUUCUUUUAUUGGGGAAGAAAAGCACGGUUUCUACUGUGUCCGACGGUACCCAAGGAAUAAGCACCGGCUAACUCCGUGCCAGCCGCCGCAGUAAUAC
rnacentral:rRNA from 1 species